UGCUUGCUUUGGCAGCACUUAGCUAAAAUUGAAUCAAUAGAAGAUUAGCAUGCCCUGUGUACAGGAUGACAUGUGAGUUAGUGAUAUGUUCCAUGUUUUU
rnacentral:snRNA from 1 species